rnacentral:lncRNA from 1 species
UAAGGAUAUCCUACAAGAUUGUUAUCAAACAAAUAUUGCUUAUUAGCACACAACCCCAAAUCUUAACAUGCUUGAGAUUUGUCUUUCUUUCCAACUACAUCUUAUGGAGUCAUGAAAAUUUUGGAAGAUCUUCUAAUUGACAAUCAUAUUGUCUUAGAAGUAUAUAUCCUAUAUAUAUGGGUAAUAGAUAACAUCUAACGAACUCAAUCUUAUUCAAGUUCGUUCUUCUCCUAAUGGAGAAAUUCAUUAUCUUAUGAUGCUUCUUUCCUUGAUAUCUUUCAAGGAAACUCAUCUAAAGUGUUACCUUUCCUUGGAUCAAAUCUAAGGAGGUAAAUACUUUAGACGUCUUACUCAUCAACUUACAUUUCUUGAAUUCUUUGAAACAUUUUGCAAAGUAUUCGGACUUGUGUUUAUUCAAAAUAAACUAUAGUCCAACCGAGAGUGAUCUUCGGUGAAUGUCAUAUAAUAUGAGUAGUAUUAUGUUUGUGGACAAGUGCCACUAACAUUUAAGUGAAUUAACCUCAACAACUUUGUGAUUCUUUCUUCUUUCCAAAAGAAUAAAGAUUCGAACAUUUCGCCUCUAUACAAUUUUAACAAGAAGGUAUUGGAUCCGGAUCUAACGAUCCAAAGCAUCCAUCUAUGACCAACUCGUAAUUUAUGUUUUAGAGAUUAAACUUUAGUUGGGAUUAGUCACUACCUUGCAACCUUUUGGGUUUUAAGCAUCAUUGUAUUCUAAACAGUUAACACUA